AGAGUUGAUAUGGCUCAGAACGAACGCUGGCGGCAGGUCUUAGGCAUGCAAGUCGAACGGAUGACAGAGAGCUUGCUCUCUGAAGUCAGUGGCGCACGAGUGAGUAACGCGUGGGAAACUGCCCUUCACUGGGGAAUAACGUUUGGAAACGAACGCUAAUACCGCAUACGCCCGCAAGGGGAAAGAUUUAUCGGUGAUGGAUGUGCCCGCGUUGGAUUAGCUAGUUGGUGGGGUAAUGGCCUACCAAGGCGAUGAUCCAUAGCUGGUCUGAGAGGACGAUCAGCCACGCUGGAACUGAGACACGGUCCAGACUCCUACGGGAGGCAGCAGCUAAGAAUAUUGGGCAAUGGAGGAAACUCUGACCCAGCCCAUGCCGCGUGAAUGAAGAAGGCCUUCGGGUUGUAAAGUUCUUUUAGUCAUGAAGAUGAUGACAGUAGUGACAGAAAAAGCACCGGCUAACUUCGUGCCAGCCGCCGC
rnacentral:rRNA from 1 species